rnacentral:rRNA from 1 species
UACGUAGGGUGCGAGCGUUAAUCGGAAUUACUGGGCGUAAAGCGUGCGCAGGCGGUUGUGCAAGACAGAUGUGAAAGCCCUGGGCUCAACCUGGGAAUUGCAUUGGAUACUGGCAGGCUAGAGUGCGGUAGAGGAUGGCGGAAUUCCCGGUGUAGCAGUGAAAUGCGUAGAGAUCGGGAGGAACAUCUGUGGCGAAGGCGGCCAUCUGGACCAGCACUGACACUGAGGCACGAAAGCGUGGGGAGCAAACAGG